rfam:Sus scrofa chromosome X.
UCCCUGGUGGCCUAGUGGCUAAGGAUUUGGCAUUGUCACUGCUGUGGUUUGGGUUCAAUCCCUGGCCUGGGAA